rnacentral:rRNA from 1 species
UAAGGAAUAUUGGACAAUGGGCGCAAGCCUGAUCCAGCCAUGCCGCGUGCAGGAUUAAGGCCCUAUGGGUUGUAAACUGCUUUUAGUAGGGAAAAAACCCUCGUUCGUGAACGAGGCUGAUGGUACCUACAGAAUAAGGAUCGGCUAACUCCGUGCCAGCAGCCGCGGUAAUACGGAGGAUCCAAGCGUUAUCCGGAUUUAUUGGGUUUAAAGGGUGCGUAGGCGGAUUAAUAAGUCAGUGGUGAAAGCCUGCAGCUUAACUGUAGAACUGCCAUUGAUACUGUUAGUCUUGAAUGUAGUUGAGGUGGGCGGAAUAUGACAUGUAGCGGUGAAAUGCUUAGAUAUGUCAUAGAACACCGAUUGCGAAGGCAGCUCACUAAGCUAUAAUUGACGCUGAGGCACGAAAGCGUGGGGAGCAAACA